rnacentral:rRNA from 1 species
AAUAGAUACCCGGGUAGUCCACGCCGUAAACGGUGGGCGCUAGGUGUGGGGGACUUUCCACGUCCUCUGUGCCGCAGCUAACGCAUUAAGCGCCCCGCCUGGGGAGUACGGCCGCAAGGCUAAAACUCAAAGGAAUUGACGGGGGCCCGCACAAGCGGCGGAGCAUGUGGCUUAAUUCGACGCAACGCGAAGAACCUUACCAAGGCUUGACAUGCAGAGAAAUCUCGUAGAGAUACGGGGUCCGCAAGGGCUUUGCACAGGUGGUGCAUGGUUGUCGUCAGCUCGUGUCGUGAGAUGUUGGGUUAAGUCCCGCAACGAGCGCAACCCUUGUCCUAUGUUGCCAGCGAGUAAUGUCGGGGACUCAUAGGAGACUGCCGGGGUCAACUCGGAGGAAGGUGGGGAUGACGUCAAAUCAUCAUGCCCCUUAUGUCUUGGGCUGCACACAUGCUACAAUGGUCGGUACAAAGGGCUGCGAGACCGCAAGGUGGAGCGAAUCCCAAAAAGCCGACCUCAGUUCGGAUUAGGGUCUGCAAC